rnacentral:rRNA from 1 species
AGUGAACGCUGGCGGUAGGCCUAACACAUGCAAGUCGAACGGCGGCACAGUAAGAGCUUGCUCUUACGGGUGGCGAGUGGCGGACGGGUGAGGAAUACAUCGGAAUCUACUUUUUCGUGGGGGAUAACGUAGGGAAACUUACGCUAAUACCGCAUACGACCUACGGGUGAAAGCAGGGGAUCUUCGGACCUUGCGCGAUUGAAUGAGCCGAUGUCGGAUUAGCUAGUUGGCGGGGUAAAGGCCCACCAAGGCGACGAUCCGUAGCCGGUCUGAGAGGAUGAUCAGCCACACUGGAACUGAGACACGGUCCAGACUCCUACGGGAGGCAGCAGUGGGGAAUAUUGGACAAUGGGCGCAAGCCUGAUCCAGCCAUACCGCGUGGGUGAAGAAGGCCUUCGGGUUGUAAAGCCCUUUUGUUGGGAAAGAAAAGCAGCAGGUUAAUACCCCGCUGUUCUGACGGUACCCAAAGAAUAAGCACCGGCUAACUUCGUG